AAAUUAUCAUGAUAUUAGGUAACUUAUUGACUGAAACAUUCAUAAGAAUUUUUAGCUGGAGCACGACUCCUUACACAAGGACUGAAAUCAUCAACAAAGCUAGCAACAUAACACAAAUAGUUCGCAGCUUGGCCGCUUGUGUCACAAACAAUAUCUUGCUCCUAACAUAUAUAUUGACAAAACAUUUAUCCUGAUGCCUGAAAGAAUCACUAAACUUUUAUACCUCGGCUUCCUCGACAUUUUCUUCUUCCUCCCCACUAAUAUCUUGCUCCUCGUCGCCAUGAUAAUGCAAGUUUAAAAAUUGGCUGCCAUCGUUCUCGUCCUCAUCAAACUCUGGAGCUAUGUGCCCAGUACUACCACGAAUGAGCUCGUGCAUUAACUCGUCCGGAGGAUCCAUUUCCACUACCUGAAACAUUAAAAAAACAUUAAGUAUUUUCUAGUACCAAUAAAAUGUACAUAUUUGCAAAAAUAUUGUAUCAGAAGAGAGUGUAGAAUAUUUCAUGGCUACUCAAUUAUUUACCAAAGACAUGAACCGUGAGAGUGUAAAAAUAUUGUAUCUUGCUGCUGAAUUACUUGGUGCAAAAAUACAGCAGAAUGAACACUGCCCGAUUGAAGAUGCCCGAGCUGCGAUGUUCAUUUACAACAAGCACAAGAAAGCAUGGGAGAAGAGCAUGAAGCGAGGGAAAAAGAAACCUGCUGAGCCCAAUGUGAAUGACCCCAAUGUCCCCACUGUUCUUCUAUAAUACAUCAGAACCUGUGUGAACCAUUUCCCUAGAAGUCUUUCAUUCUGACAAGGGGGUAUGGAUAUGAUAAAUCCUACUGUAACUUUGACUCAAGUUAGUAUCUGACCAUGAAACUUUCAGAGAAUACUUGACGCUAGUAUCAUGAUCCCAAUCUUUGAUUCACAGUUCUAUAUGUAGCAUUUUUCCUAGGGAAACAGUAUUUGUAAUGAAAAUUUUGUACCUCAAUAUUCAUGUACUGUAAAUUCACACU